rnacentral:rRNA from 1 species
GAUGAACGCUAGCUACAGGCUUAACACAUGCAAGUCGAGGGGCAGCAUUAUCGAAGCUUGCUUUGGUAGAUGGCGACCGGCGCACGGGUGAGUAACGCGUAUCCAACCUUCCCCAUAGUAGGGCAUAGCCCGUAGAAAUGCGGAUUAAUACCCUAUGUAUUCCGAGGAUGACAUCUGAUUCGGAACAAAGGUUCACCGCUAUGGGAUGGGGAUGCGUCUGAUUAGGUAGUCGGCGGGGUAACGGCCUACCAAAGCGACGAUCUGUAGCCGGCCUGAGAGGGCGGACGGCCACAUUGGGACUGAGACACGGCCCAAACUCC